AAAUUGAAGAGUUUGAUCAUGGCUCAGAUUGAACGCUGGCGGCAGGCCUAACACAUGCAAGUCGAACGGUAACAGGAAUCAGCUUGCUGAUUCGCUGACGAGUGGCGGACGGGUGAGUAAUGUCUGGGAAACUGCCUGAUGGAGGGGGAUAACUACUGGAAACGGUAGCUAAUACCGCAUAACGUCGCAAGACCAAAGAGGGGGACCUUCGGGCCUCUUGCCAUCAGAUGUGCCCAGAUGGGAUUAGCUAGUAGGUGGGGUAACGGCUCACCUAGGCGACGAUCCCUAGCUGGUCUGAGAGGAUGACCAGCCACACUGGAACUGAGACACGGUCCAGACUCCUACGGGAGGCAGCAGUGGGGAAUAUUGCACAAUGGGCGCAAGCCUGAUGCAGCCAUGCCGCGUGUAUGAAGAAGGCCUUCGGGUUGUAAAGUACUUUCAGCG
rnacentral:rRNA from 1 species